GUGAGGAAUAUUGGACAAUGGGCGCAAGCCUGAUCCAGCCAUGCCGCGUGCAGGAAGACGCAUCUAUGGUGUGUAAACUGCUUUUGUACGGGAAGAAACACUCCCUCGUGAGGGAGCUUGACGUUACCGUAAGAAUAAGGAUCGGCUAACUCCGUGCCAGCAGCCGCGGUAAUACGGAGGAUCCAAGCGUUAUCCGGAAUUAUUGGGUUUAAAGGGUCCGUAGGCGGUUUAAUAAGUCAGUGGUGAAAGCCCAUCGCUCAACGAUGGAACGGCCAUUGCUACUGUUAGACUUGAAUUACAAGGAAGUAACUAGAAUAUGUAGUGUAGCGGUGAAAUGCUUAGAUAUUACAUGGAAUACCAAUUGCGAAGGCAGGUUACUACUUGUGGAUUGACGCUGAUGGACGAAAGCGUGGGGAGCGAACAGGAUUAGAAACCCGGGUAGUCC
rnacentral:rRNA from 1 species